rnacentral:rRNA from 1 species
UAAUACCUGCAGCUCAAGUGGUGAUCGUUAUUAUUGGGCCAAAACGUUCGUAGCCGGUUUAGUAAAUGCCUGGGUAAAUCGUGUAGCUCAACUAUACGAAUUCCGGGUAGACUGCUAAACUUGAGACCGGGAGAGGCUAGAGGUACUCCUGGGGUAGGGGUGAAGUCCUGUAAUCCUGGGGGGACCACCAGUGGCGAAGGCGUCUAGCUAGAACGGGUCUGACGGUGAGGGACGAAGCCCUGGGGCGCAAACCGGAUUAGAUACCCGGGUAGUCCAGGGUGUAAACGCUGCUUGCUUGAUGUUAGUCGGGCUCCGAGCCCGAUUAGUGUCGGAGAGAAGUUGUUAAGCAAGCUGCCUGGGAAGUACGGUCGCAAGACUG